rnacentral:misc_RNA from 1 species
UUUUUUUUUUUUUUAAUUUCCUACAUAAGGAAAAUAGAGGAAAAGAAAAAUCACAAGCCAUGGUAUAUUCAGUAAUAUUUCUUUUCCACAUUUACAUAAAUCCCUAAGAGUGUACUGGUAUAAUUAAUAAAUCACCUGUUAGUUGAAAGGUAAAAUUUACAAAAGAAAAAAAUGGAUUAACAAGGUAAUAAAUAUAAGAAUAACCCAAACUCACCCAUGAUCUUGAGAAGAAACCCAUAUCACCCAACAAGAGAAAAAAAAUAACCAAAAAAAAAUCUGCAUAUACCAUUCCCUUAGGGACAUCUCACAUUUCUUCCAGGCCCUCCAUAGUAAAAAUAAUUACCCCAAACUCUAUUAAUCCCUCCUUGAAUGUCAUAGCAAUUUGAAUGAUCAGCCAAAACCUUCAGAUUUGAUAAGGGAAUUAAAUUAUUGUCCCAAUCAACAACUUGCAAAUUUCUGAAAUACGAGGCUUUUCCAAAACCCUCUCCUGCAAAAUGGCCACUUCCCAUUUGGGUAGAAGUGUGGAACCCUGAUGGCCUGGAAUUCACAAUUUCUCCACCAAAUUGUAUCAUACUUGCAUGAUCCGUUAGGUGAGUGAACAAAAAUGAUGGCCAAUACCCAACCAAAACCCCAUUUCCAAAUUCAAGCCACCAAUUUCCAUGCUUUGGAUCCUACACACAAAAAUAAAUUAGAAUUUAUUAUUCAUUUCUUUAGUACUCAAAUAACAUAUGCACUAGUGGAAUUGAUAAUUACCUCAAAAUUCAGCAUUUCAAUAUUUUUUUUUAUUGAGCAGAUUGACAGUAAUAAAUGGGUUUUUCAAAUUAUCUUUAAAGAAAUUAAUUUACCUUCCAAACUAAUAAGCUGAUAUCAAACUGUCCACCAUUAUAAGAGGAUGUUGGAGAGAUGGCAGCCCCAAUUGCAAUUCUGUUGUUGGUUUGAACAAAACCUGAGCAUAACAAAUUGUAGCAUCCUGUUGCUUGAUAUGCAUCAGUCGUCCAAUAUGUAAAGAAUCUGGGGUAGUUGUCCCCAUACAAUUCUGGGCUAACCUGCCAACCAGCUUCAAUGGUGUUAAGAUCAUCCCCAAAUGAACCAGAAAUGACCCACAUUUGUGACAAGCUGAAUUCAUAUUGAUUAGAAACCGUAGGUGCCCACACAUUUAUACUUGCUUUUGCACCAUAAUAUUGAUCUCCAGUCACAUACCCAACUGCAUGCUCAUGGCCAUCGCUGUUAGUGUCUCUUCUUACAUGCCCUCCUAGUUUUCUUCCAAAUCUUCGAAAAGAACUUGCUCUUAACAUAUCUUGUUCAGUUGUUCUUCUUAUUGGAAUUGUUCCUUCUGGGCAUGACUCACCGGACAUACUCCAUAAUUGAAAAUUCUCAGUUACCAUGCCUGUUGGAUUAUGCCCCUUUGGUCUGUCUGGUGGCUCCAAUGGUUUCUGUCCUUUCAAUUGUGGAUGAUCAAAAGCUGGCUGCCGAUGAGACAAAACACAGUCUAUGAGAUCCCCAUCAGGACUCUGAAUUGUUUUCGCUGCAGGCUUGUUAAUCUUGUUGAGAUGUUCUCUUAUCAUCUUCAACUUCUUUAACUCGUCCUCUGGCCGGAAAGUUUGGUUGGUUGCAUUGCUAUGGCCGGUCUCCGACGAACAAACAGGACAAAUUAAAGAAAAAACAAGAAGAAAACAUAAAAAGAUGGAAAUGAUUGGUGAGAUCUCACUACACCAAAUAGAAGCCAUGUUUGAGAAAUUUCUUGGUUUUUUUUCUUUUGCCAAAUCUGUAUAUGUUUGUUGUUGUCCACAUUGGUGUUGUCUUCUUCUUGGAUCAAAACAGUAACACCAUUUAUUCCUAGUCUUUGCAUCCAUCCAAAUCCAACUCAGAAUGACCAAUCUAAGAAAACCCCUCCACCCCACAAUUCAACCUCUCACCACUUCCAAAGCUCUUGAAUCCAAAAAAAUAACAAAUAACUUCGCUUGCUUCUCUCUAUUCUCUUGCAGCUUCUAAUCCUCCACCUUGGUUUUAUGUUCUGACAGGCUUGAACUUCUAUGCACGAGCUGAAUAAAAAAACCACACACACUUACACGCUAUUAAUUGAUGUUGGGUUGGCUUCAGGCUUCUCUUAAACUAUUGCCCAUGUGGGUGUGAAUUUAUAACUUAUAAAUACUGGGUAGUGAUGAAAUCAUGCUUAUUAGUUAAAAAAAUUUUGAAAACAGAAAAUGGGCAGAGAGAGAGAGAGAGAGA